GAAUUCGCCCUUAGAGUUUGAUCCUGGCUCAGGACGAACGCUGGCGGCGCGCCUAACACAUGCAAGUCGAACGAGAGAUGAGGAGCUUGCUCUUCAAAUCGAGUGGCGAACGGGUGAGUAACGCGUGAGGAACCUGCCUCAAAGAGGGGGACAACAGUUGGAAACGACUGCUAAUACCGCAUAAGCCCACAGCUCGGCAUCGAGCAGAGGGAAAAGGAGCAAUCCGCUUUGAGAUGGCCUCGCGUCCGAUUAGCUAGUUGGUGAGGUAACGGCCCACCAAGGCGACGAUCGGUAGCCGGACUGAGAGGUUGAACGGCCACAUUGGGACUGAGACACGGCCCAGACUCCUACGGGAGGCAGCAGUGGGGAAUAUUGCACAAUGGGGGAAACCCUGAUGCAGCGACGCCGCGUGGAGGAAGAAGGUCUUCGGAUUGUAAACUCCUGUUGUUGAGGAAGAUAAUGACGGUACUCAACAAGGAAGUGACGGCUAACUACGUGCCAGCAGCCGCGGUAAAACGUAGGUCACAAGCGUUGUCCGGAAUUACUGGGUGUAAAGGGAGCGCAGGCGGGAGAACAAGUUGGAAGUGAAAUCCAUGGGCUCAACCCAUGAACUGCUUUCAAAACUGUUUUUCUUGAGUAGUGCAGAGGUAGGCGGAAUUCCCGGUGUAGCGGUGGAAUGCGUAGAUAUCGGGAGGAACACCAGUGGCGAAGGCGGCCUACUGGGCACCAACUGACGCUGAGGCUCGAAAGUGUGGGUAGCAAACAGGAUUAGAUACCCUGGUAGUCCACACCGUAAACGAUGAUUACUAGGUGUUGGAGGAUUGACCCCUUCGGUGCCGCAGUUAACACAAUAAGUAAUCCACCUGGGGAGUACGACCGCAAGGUUGAAACUCAAAGGAAUUGACGGGGGCCCGCACAAGCAGUGGAGUAUGUGGUUUAAUUCGACGCAACGCGAAGAACCUUACCAAGUCUUGACAUCCCUUGACGAACAUAGAAAUAUGUUUUCUCUUCGGAGCAAGGAGACAGGUGGUGCAUGGUUGUCGUCAGCUCGUGUCGUGAGAUGUUGGGUUAAGUCCCGCAACGAGCGCAACCCUUAUGGUCAGUUACUACGCAAGAGGACUCUGGCCAGACUGCCGUUGACAAAACGGAGGAAGGUGGGGAUGACGUCAAAUCAUCAUGCCCUUUAUGACUUGGGCUACACACGUACUACAAUGGCGUUAAACAAAGAGAAGCAAGACCGCGAGGUGGAGCAAAACUCAGAAACAACGUCCCAGUUCGGACUGCAGGCUGCAACUCGCCUGCACGAAGUCGGAAUUGCUAGUAAUCGUGGAUCAGCAUGCCACGGUGAAUACGUUCCCGGGCCUUGCACACACCGCCCGUCA
rnacentral:rRNA from 1 species